rnacentral:sRNA from 1 species
CUUCCUCGAUCUGCUGCGGAGCAAUGAAAUGGAUAUGGCUGUCCAUGCCGCCAGCGGUGAGGAUCUUGCCCUCGCCGGCAAUCGCUUCCGUACCCGGGCCGACGAUGAUGUUGACACCAGGCUGCAUGUCCGGAUUGCCAGCCUUGCCGAUCGCGGCAAUGCGACCAUCCCUCAGGCCGAUAUCGGCCUUGUAGAUGCCGGUAUGGUCGAUAAUGACGGCGUUGGUGAUGACGGUGUCGACAGCCCCGCCUGCCCGCGUCACCUGGCUCUGGCCCAUGCCGUCACGGAU